UUCCCAAUUCCCCUCCCCAUUUCCCGUCUCUGAUAAAUGCCUAACCUAACGCCUUCCCUUCCCUUCCCUUUUUUUUCCCCAAAUCGGAAACCCACCUCGCUUGAUCCACCAUUCCACCUCCGGUGACUGGCCUUCCACGACUCCACCUCCGCUCUAACGGUGCUUCCAGUGAAUCUAGCCUUCAACAUCUUCUACCUUUUAAUUUCAAAUGUGAGCUUGCUGUUAACGGUUUCCUAAUUUUUUAACGUCUUCUCCCUUUUUAGCUUUUUGAUGUUGGUUGUGAUUUUGAUUUUUGCUGUUAAUGGUGUUCUGAUUUUGAUUUUGAGACACUAAAUCUUGGGGGAUUUUGUUUGUGUUUACACUUUACAUCUGUGGACUGCACUUACAAGACAUGAAACAAAACCUUGAUUCAACAGAUCAUAUACAUUUUGUUUGUUUGUGUUUACACUUUACAUCUUAUGCAACAUGAAACAAAAUCUUGGGGAGAGUCUUGUCCAUGCUAAGAUGAGACUAAACUCCAUACAAGACAGAACCUGACAAUGUUAGCCAUGUUCGUUGAUCUUUACACAAUUCUCCAUCUCUUGCCUGUCCAAAUACAUAUGGUACCCAAAAUUAAUCCAUGCACCAUUAACAAGCACACACUUUAUUUAUUUAUUUUGCUUUUCAAGACCUGAAGAUUGUUGUUUGCAUAUAUAACUAAAUGAUGAUGAUGAUGAUGAACCAAAGAACAAAACAUCACUCAUUGGUUGUUUACCUUAAGAUAUAUUGACAAUGUGGGUUCUGUCUGAAAUUUCAUCUUACAGGUUCUAGCUUCAACAUCUUCAGCUGCAAAUGAAUAUUUUAACUACUAAAUGUUUUAACUGUAUCUAUAUCCAUAAGAUUAAAAAAACAUAACAUUUUUUUUUUUUGUUUCACUUUAUUAUUUAUAACAUGAAUGAGAAACCAGAUUGAGGCACCAAAAAUAACAAACAAAAAUAUGUUCUUACCAUUAUUAUUAGUAACUCUGCCUAUACUCGAAGAAGAUUUUUUCAGUAAGGGUAAAACAGAGAAAGUGAAUAUUAAAGAACAAAGGGUCUGGAAUAAAAAUAGUAACCAAUUUUCUUCAAUACAAAAUAUACUACUUUUUUCUGGUCACACUUCAUCAGUCAAGCCACUUGUUCAUUUUUAGUCCAAAACUAUCAAUCCAUGGUUAUUAUUUCUCUAAAAGUGAUCAAUUUAAUGAUAUGACAUUUUGGAAUUUUUCCUUGAAAAAUGUUUACCAUAAUGUAGCACACUAAUUCAUUGGAAGCUUAAAAUGCUUAAAAUGUUAUUGAAUUUAGUUGAAGUAUAAAGGUUAUAUAUAUAUACAAGGUUCGAAUUCACACAUGUAUAUACAUGUAUAAAUUAUUGGUUUAAUCAAAGGUAUGUAUAUAUAUGUGUACAUAAGGUUCGAAUAAAUGCAUAGGUAUAUACAUGUAUAAACCUUUGGAUUGGAUUUAUAAUAUGUAUAUUAUACUUGUUUAAGUAAUUUCGAAUAAGCAUGCAAAUAUACUUGUUUACAUGUAUAAUUUCUUGUAUUAAGAUAUGUCAUUAUAUAAGUAUAUGAGGUUAGCAUGUUUCUCUGUUUUGGUUGAUCAAUAACAGGAAGAAAGCAGUGUGUUUUUUUAUGUGCCAUGCUUAGUCGAGUAUUGUAUUCACCUAUCACUUAUCUAGAAAUCAAACUCCAGUUUAUAUCUUCUAGGGGCGUAGAUGCUGACAACUCUUUGCUCAUUCCAUUAUUACUUCACUUCUUGCAGUAGUAACAUUUCCCAUUGUAUUUUGUACAUGUUAUUCAUAAUUUUAAUCUCAUCUUUUUUGUUUUUGCUUUGUUUUAUUGUAGAAACAAUCUAUUGAGGCAAAAAAAUAGCAGGCCCAGUCAGGUUGCUAUCACAAGGCUAGCAUAGUUAAAUAACUAGUUUUGGUAAUUAAUUUUAUUUGGUACUCAAAAUAAGUAAUUUUUAACUACUUUUAUCUUACUUAUUAAAUUGAGUAUGAAAUAUAAUUUGAUAUUUGAUAUAAUUUUAAUAACAAUUAGUUUUAAGUAAGUAAAAAAAAAUGGGUCGGGCUCGGGCCUCAUAUUUUCUCCACGGGUCGGGCCUGGGCAAAAUUUCAAGCCCAUAUUUUGGGCCUAGCCGGGCCCGGACCUAGCAAUCGGGCUAAAAUUUUUUUC
rnacentral:lncRNA from 1 species